GCCAGUCAACUACCCUUAAGAGUCUUAUUCUAGUAACAAAAUCUCUUAUUCUGCUGACAAACGCAGACUGCGUCCACACCCCGACCGAACCUCACCCCAAACAACAUACACCUUCUCCCCAGUCAACUACCACCCCCGACCCAAUCCACCUUCUUCCCCAUCCACAGGCGCCCAACGCUAUCUCCUCCCACCUCCUUCCGUCACCGGCAAGUGGGCCUGUCGGAUCCACACGCCACAAGGGCUCCCCGAACCACCAGUCGGAUCCCCGCGGCGCCAGGGCUCCCCAUGCCGGAUCCCCACGCCGCCGGCAGGUGGGAGGCUGCUGCGAGAUCCAGCCGGGGUGGCCAUGGAGGGAUCCAGUGGGCGGAGGAGGUUCGUCGCGCGCCCUGACUUCCAGCAGUCCUACCUCCGCAGGGCCUCCCCUGCUCCUCCCCCGCAGCCAGAUACAUCUUCCCUGCGACCUACCGAGGCCCCUCCGCGGCGCCCCGCCACCGGAGUAGACAACGGCGACCGCGGCCACGGGAGGUCUGUGUGGGUGUCUGCACCGGAGGUCGCCGUUCCACUGCCCCUCGCCAACCCUCCAACCCCCGCUGAUCUACCGGGAACCGGCGAUCCCCGUCCCGCCGAGAUCCAUCUGCAGCCCUGCUCUUCCUCUGCCCUACCCAGAUUUCACCCGUGACCGCAGUCCAUCGCAGGGGCACCUGCAGCUCUCUCUCCCACUUGAGGAGGUACAUCGCCAGCAAAGGCUUGGAGGUGAGCUCGUGGUCUACCCAGCGCGAGGGCUGGCAUCCUCUCAAGCAAUGGUGCAGUGAUGGGGAUGACGCACAGGUGGCGGUGCACGGUGAGCUCGAGGUCGCUCACGGCCUCCCUCAGGCGUGUGUGAUGUAGUGUGGCAACAAGGCCGCAUGAGGUUCCAGCUCUUCAGCGACCCCCCUUCAUCAUAUUCUGGUGAGGUACCAGCCCACCGACUUCAUGUAGUAUGGACGGCGUUGCCGCGCAGUUCGCCGUGCGAAUCUCGUCCAGUGCAGUUCAGACUCUCACCGAGGAUUUGCAGCUCUCCCGCGAGUGGCUUGUGGUCUGUGCAGGUCGAGCGUGCAGCCCACUAUUGGUUCCUCCACCGCUGCAAGUCCUCGACCUGUUGCGCUGUCAUCCAUGGUGUGGUCCACACGGCCAGAGUAUGCCGCAGCCCACAUCUCCAGCGGGUGCAGCUCGUGGCCCGCCAAUGUGCAGUUUUGGCAACCGGUGUUUGCAAGAUUGGCACAUGUACUUCCGACGGAUCCAUGCGGGAUCCUCACCGCCAGCCAUGCCACCUCCCGCGGGAUCCUCCUGCUAUGUUGUGUGGUAUGAAUCCCUCACCCCCUUGACCUCUUCCUGGCUGCUGCUGCACCAAGAUCCUGUGCAUGCGGGUGUUGUGGUUGUGCAGCUCGGAGAUGCUCGCCAUUCGGUUCAGGGCUCGUGCUUGUGAAGUCCGGCAAGCACCAUCUCUUCCUAUCUGGUCGGUCGACCAUUGCCGUGCAGCUCGGAGACGCUCGCCAUGCGGUUCGGAGCUCGUGCGUGUGCAGUCCGGCAAGUGUCGUCUCUUCCCCUGCAAUCCGUCGACCAUGCCAUGCAACUCAGAGAUGCUUGACAUGCGGUUCAGAGCUCGUGCGCGUGCAAUCUGGCGAGUGUCCGUGCAUGUGCAGUCGGGCGAGCAUCCGUGUAUGUGUGUUCUGCUGGCCCUCAAAAGCAAUUCUGCCGGUAUAUGUGUGUGGCUGUAAAACAAUUCUGCUCGUAUAUGUGUGUGUCUGUAAAACAACGAAUGGAUGUAUGUGUGUCUAUGAGCAUCAUCGGCAUCCAUAGACAAAGGCGCAAAACAAAAUGUGCGCUGGUUAGCUCUGUCGUGGCUUUUGUAUUCUGCUGUUCAUUUGUUUGUUAAAAAAAUCAAAGAAUGUUGGUGUGAGAUAACAUUCUUUUGAUGCAAAAUUGUAAUUUUAAAUGCA